UACGUAGGGUGCGAGCGUUGUCCGGAAUUACUGGGCGUAAAGCGCGCGCAGGCGGUUUUUCAAGUCAGUGGUGGAAAGCCCCGGAGCUCAACUCCGGAACUGCCAUUGAAACUGUAGAACUUGAGGACGAGAGAGGUGAGUGGAAUUCCCAGUGUAGAGGUGAAAUUCGUAGAUAUUGGGAAGAACACCGGUAGCGAAGGCGGCUCACUGGCUCGUUUCUGACGCUCAGG
rnacentral:rRNA from 1 species